rnacentral:rRNA from 1 species
UGGGGAAUUUUGGACAAUGGGCGCAAGCCUGAUCCAGCCAUGCCGCGUGAGUGAAGAAGGCCUUCGGGUUGUAAACCUCUUUCAGGGGGGACGAAGCCACCGGGGUUAAUAGCCCACGGGGUGACGGUACCCCCAGAAGAAGCCCCGGCUAACUACGUGCCAGCAGCCGCGGUAAUACGUAGGGGGCAAGCGUUGUCCGGAAUCAUUGGGCGUAAAGCGCGUGUAGGUGGCUUGGUAAGUCCGGUGUGAAACCUUGGGGCUCAACCCCAAGCCUGCAUCGGAUACUGCCUCGCUCGAGUUCGGGAGGGGAGAGCGGAAUUCCUAGUGUAGCGGUGAAAUGCGCAGAUAUUAGGAAGAACACCGGUGGCGAAGGCGGCUCUCUGGAACGAUACUGACACUGAGACGCGAAAGCGUGGGUAGCGAACAGGAUUAGAUACCCCCGUAGUCCCUGAGCGGGCUGGCAAGGCGCAU